AACAAGUUGGCAGAAUAGUGCUAUUAACUUAGAAUUAAUAUAUGAAAAAUUUUCACUUGUUA
rnacentral:tRNA from 1 species